AUUGAACGCUGGCGGCGUGCCUUACACAUGCAAGUCGAACGGCAGCACGGGGCAACCUGGUGGCGAGUGGCGAACGGGUGAGUAAUGCAUCGGAACGUACCUUUCAGUGGGGGAUAGCGUAGCGAAAGUUACGCUAAUACCGCAUAUUCUGUGAGCAGGAAAGCAGGGGAUCGCAAGACCUUGCGCUGAUUGAGCGGCCGAUGUCAGAUUAGCUAGUUGGUGAGGUAAAGGCUCACCAAGGCGACGAUCUGUAGCGGGUCUGAGAGGAUGAUCCGCCACACUGGAACUGGGACACGGUCCAGACUCCUACGGGAGGCAGCAGUGGGGAAUUUUGGACAAUGGGGGCAACCCUGAUCCAGCCAUGCCGCGUGAGUGAAGAAGGCCUUCGGGUUGUAAAGCUCUUUCGGCCGGGAAGAAAUCGCACGGGCUAAUACCCUGUGUGGAUGACGGUACCGGAAUAAGAAGCACCGGCUAACUACGUGCCAGCCGCCGCGGUAAAAC
rnacentral:rRNA from 1 species